UGAGACACGGUCCAAACUCCUACGGGAGGCAGCAGUGAGGAAUAUUGGUCAAUGGACGAGAGUCUGAACCAGCCAAGUAGCGUGCAGGAUGACGGCCCUAUGGGUUGUAAACUGCUUUUAUGCGGGGAUAAAGCGGGCGACGUGUCGCCCUUUGCAGGUACCGCAUGAAUAAGGACCGGCUAAUUCCGUGCCAGCAGCCGCGGUAAUACGGAAGGUCCAGGCGUUAUCCGGAUUUAUUGGGUUUAAAGGGAGCGCAGGCGGACCUUUAAGUCAGCUGUGAAAUACGGCGGCUCAACCGUCGAACUGCAGUUGAUACUGGAGGUCUUGAGUGCACACAGGGAUACUGGAAUUCAUGGUGUAGCGGUGAAAUGCUCAGAUAUCAUGAAGAACUCCGAUCGCGAAGGCAGGUAUCCGGGGUGCAACUGACGCUGAGGCUCGAAAGUGCGGGUAUCAAACAGGAUUAGAUACCCUGGUAGUCCGCACAGUAAACGAUGAAUACUCGCGAUUUGCGAUACACAGUAAGUCGCCAAGCGAAAGCGUUAAGUAUUCCACCUGGGGAGUACGCCGGCAACGGUGAAACUCAAAGGAAUUGACGGGGGCCCGCACAAGCGGAGGAACAUGUGGUUUAAUUCGAUGAUACGCGAGGAACCUUACCCGGGCUUGAAUUGCAGAGGAAGGAUUUGGAGACAAUGACGCCCUUCGGGGCCUCUGUGAAGGUGCUGCAUGGUUGUCGUCAGCUCGUGCCGUGAGGUGUCGGCUUAAGUGCCAUAACGAGCGCAACCCCUGUUCUCAGUUGCCAUCGGGUGAUGCCGGGCACUCUGUGAAGACUGCCUCCGCAAGGAGUGAGGAAGGUGGGGAUGACGUCAAAUCAGCACGGCCCUUACGUCCGGGGCUACACACGUGUUACAAUGGCAGGUACAGAGAGAUGGUGUUCUGCAAAGCGCAUCUAAUCCUUAAAGCCUGUCUCAGUUCGGACUGGGGUCUGCAACCCGACCCCACGAAGCUGGAUUCGCUAGUAAUCGCGCAUCAGCCAUGGCGCGGUGAAUACGUUCCCGGGCCUUGUACACACCGCCCGUCAAGCCAUGGGAGCCGGGGGUACCUGAAGUACGUAACCGCAAGGAUCGUCCUAGGGUAAAACUGGUGACUGGGGCUAAGUCGUAACAAGGUAGCCGUACCGGAAGGUGCGGCUG
rnacentral:rRNA from 1 species